UUACACAGUUCAAACGGCCCGAGUACUUUAAUUUAGGAACAUAACUUCAAUGAUUGACAACACCUCAUUGCAGACCCACCAUCUGUGCAAUCACCCGAGGAAGGCAGGGCCUCAGCUGAAAUGGGUUCUCCCGUUGGAGUUGUAGUGGAUGCCUCAUAUUAUGUAAAGUUUUCUGAAGCUGGUGUUCAAGCCACCACUUCGACAGCUGAAGCUUCAGUAAAUACCACUUCAUUGCUAAAGGAUGCUGAAACUCAAACUGACAUCACAGGCAGUGUUCUGAAGAGUUUUGAAGCUGAUAACCAGGUCCUACGCACCGAGUUACAGGAGGUGAAGGGCUCUCUGGACACACUUCGGCUGUUGAAAGCUUCUUUGGAGCAUGACAACACCCGUGUGCAAUUUUACACGGGCCUACCAAGCUUCACAGUUCUGAUUUCACUGUUCACACUUGUCGAAAGUAGUGUGCCACACAGCCCAAACAAUGCUCUUGCGAAAUUCCAAGAAUUUGUACUCACACUAAUGAGGCUGCGAUUGGGAGUGGCCUUGCAGGACCU